AGGCAAAUAGGACAACGUAGAAGGGAUAAAAUGGAAACUCGCAAUUGUUGAAAGAUUACAACUUAGUAAGAGAUACGAUUCUAGAUGAGAGAGAGUCAAGUUUAUGUAGAAGAAAGAUGAUUAGAUAUUUAGAUUAUGAAGCUGCUACUAGCUUUUGCUAAGGAGUGAGGAUUUUGUCUUCAAAAUCUGCAAGAGAUUGGGGCUUAGGGCUACUCAACAGAGGAUUUGGGUGGGAUGAUCUCCAAUUAAACAAAAUCCUAACUCAGUGCAUAUGCAGUGACAGAUUUAAAGAAGGGGAAACGAUUCUUCGAUUUUUUAGGUGAGAAGUCAACACCUGAAGGUGUGUUGCAACACGUAGAGGACGUGUUCAACGCGUGGCAAUAUCCUGGCCAACACUCGGGAGCGCGUUGAACACGUGGUAACAUCUUGGCCAACACAUCCGCGGAUAUACAGAUGUCUACAUAAAAUUCGCAAUCCAAUUUUAUUAGUGUGCGGAUCGAUUCAUAUCUACAAUUUUCGGAUCAGAUUCAGAUAAGCACCGCGGAUAUAUACAUCGAAUCCGAUUGAACACCCUAUUCUUGAUUUAAUUUUGUUUUUAAUAUGAAAAAUCUCGUGCAUUUUGCCAGAUGCCUUAUAGACUUCAAAAUUCAAAUGCUUCCCUUUUCAGAUUAACAUUUUUAUGAU